rnacentral:rRNA from 1 species
UCGGGAAUUUUGGGCAAUGGGCGAAAGCCUGACCCAGCAACGCCGCGUGAAGGAUGAAGUAUUUCGGUAUGUAAACUUCGAAAGAAUAGGAAGAAUAAAUGACGGUACUAUUUAUAAGGUCCGGCUAACUACGUGCCAGCAGCCGCGGUAAUACGUAGGGACCAAGCGUUGUUCGGAUUUACUGGGCGUAAAGGGCGCGUAGGCGGCAUGACAAGUCACUUGUGAAAUCUCUGGGCUUAACCCAGAACGGCCAAGUGAUACUGUCGCGCUAGAGUGCAGAAGGGGCAAUCGGAAUUCUUGGUGUAGCGGUGAAAUGCGUAGAUAUCAAGAGGAACACCUGAGGUGAAGACGGGUUGCUGGGCUGACACUGACGCUGAGGCGCGAAAGCCAGGGGAGCAAACGGGAUUAGAUACCCCUGUAGUCCCUGAGCGGGCUGGCAAGGCG